CGCGCGCCGCCUGCUCUCCACCACCACCUAUGUGUGCACUCGGGUGUCUCUCCUGCUCUGCGCGUGUGCUUGUGUGCAUGCAUGACUCAAUGUGUGCUCUGUAGAACCGAUAUCUUUUCAUUAUUUCUUGUGGCUUCUCUUAGCAAGUGAUAUCGCACGGUUACGGCGCUCCGUUUAACACAGCGGGUGAGAGAAGACUUCUUCGUGUGCAGAUGUGAGCCGGUGAGCCGAAAAGGGAGAGCACGCUGUCGAAGUGGGAGCUGAAGACAGCGAGCAUGGACGACGGAGCCACUGGACGGGUGCUACAGUUUUUAAACUUUGGCUAAGUGUGCCCUCUAUUCUUCUCAGCAUCAUGCCAAUCUCGCAUGUUCAUAUAGAAUGCAGGUAUGGCUUCCCCGUCGAGAGAACGCGACCCGCGCGGCGAUACGUGCGCGCCGUUGCGUGAACGUUUUCGCGCUUGCUUCCGCAUGGGGUUUCCUUUUCACUUACCGUAUAUGUUUAUUGUCGAGCAUCUUUUUCUCGCCUUUUCUCUGGAUGCCUUUCUCGGGUGAUGUGCCGGUUGGUCCCGUGGCCACUCCACUCAGACAUCAACGAGGAACAUGCAAAGCCACAAAUGGAGUUGACGCGCACUGGUCAUGAGCGUCAAUGUACGGAGAUGAGGUGACGGCAAUGCAGAUGUCGCCAUCGUGAUUGUAGCCGCAGUACCCCUACUUGGUUCUGUGUGUGAGUUCACCUCCGUGAUGAUGCCGGCCACCACAGGCUGGUAUCAGGGUCCAGUGCCCCACACUCUUUGUGGGGAAGCCGAAAACCUCCGGCCCGCCUUCGGGUACGGCUGGCGAAGUCUCAGUAUCCGGCGGCCAGCUCUGGGCUAGCGUCGCGACCACGACCACGUUUGCACCGGCUCGCGACGAAUCGUGUCGAAGAUUCAACAAAAACACACAUCCGCCUACUGCUUUUCUGCGUCUGCUGCGCUGCGGUGGUGUUGAGCGUAAUCUGGACCUUGCCUGCGCUGCAUGCAGUGUCUUUGCACUGGGCUGAAGGUAACCAGGCUGUGCUG
rnacentral:misc_RNA from 1 species